ensembl:lncRNA
CAGGGAGAGGAAACCAAGGAAAAACACAGCACCCCCAGCGAGAAGAGGUGCCCAGGCUCUGCCCUGACCCACUGCUGUUCAGCAGGAGGAAGCAAAGUGGUGUGACUGCUGCGGUUUCAGUUCUCACCCCACCUCACUGCCCAGAAGCCAGGACCGUGGCUUAGGAGAGGAAAAGCUUGGGCAAGGGGAGGACAAGGCAGGAGGAACCCCAGAGCACCACGGGGAAGUUCAUGCUGCUGAGACCUGCUUUGGAGCUGCUCCCACCGCCUGCUUCAUCGCACUGCUGAGGACGUUCAUACUCCUCUGCCUUGGUGCAGGAGCUGCUUGUGCCAGUGACACCAACAUGAGCUGCCAAAACACCAAACACCAACAGCCAGUCCUGCCCGGGUGAGCGGAGCACGAGGACACACCAUCUCCUCCCCAUAACUUGGCACUCUGAGGUUAGCGAGAGCGUUCUCAGAGCAAACCCCAUCCUACACGAGCCGUUGCUGGUGAGACCCACCUGCGUGCGCUGCGCUGUGGAGCAGGAUCAGCACUGCCAUCCAGGCUCUGCCUGUGCCCGAUGCACAAAACCAUGUGUUUGAGGAAGUACUUCUGGAGUUUGAAAAGCAUUGCUGGGGUUUGAGCUGGCUGUGGGUGGAAGGACCGAGCCUGGAAGGAAACCCCGUGUGAAAUCCCCAGCCUGCUUUGCAGAUGUUGGGCUGCUUCUGGAUGUCUGAAACGCUCCCGGUGGGCUUGGUGCCUCGCUGCAGUAAACACAGGCAGGGGGAGCUGGAAGAAGUGGGGAGAGCCGUGAUGUCUUCCAGGAGCUGUCUCAGGAGAGGGACUGGACCAGCCUGAAGGCCACCAGAGCCAAAGCCCAGCAGCACAGCUUGGGACACAAGCAUCCCACACGCGGGACUAUUUUGAUGGAGCCGGAGAAGUGAUGACACAAAUAGCUGAUGACACAAAUAGUUCUGCUGGCGGAGCAGCAGAGGUGGCAACCUCUGGAUGGGAGCCAUGAGCAGCAGCUGCAGACAGGCACCUCUUCAUGGAGCUGGAACAGGAUGCACAGCCCAGGGCUCCUGUCACCAUCCCACCAGUAUCACCAGGAAAGCUGUGACCCGGAUGAGCCGUUCAGUCUCCUUCCUGCACAAUAGUUCUGCCUUCUGCCAGCUCUUGCCCUGAAAAGCUGCAGGUUCAUCUGCUCAGCCCGACUCAAACAUGCACCAUCAACAGCUGGGCACCCCUACACUCCUGCAGUGUUAGGUCAGGCCCCACACUCCUGAGGUUCCAGGAGGUAAAAGUCAUUCAUUCUCAUCUCCAGGUUGGCGGGCUGAGCCAAAUUUUGACCACUGAGCCAUUGCUGUUGCUGGUUUGAAGAUCUUGGCUGGUCCUCGCAGAGCCAUGUGAUUUAAUAGUGGUAAAAGCAACUGUUGCAUGAAAAAUUGAAGCACCCUAUGCCACGCCGAAUGCUGAACGUUGCUGCCAUUUGGGAUAAUACUGGGAAAAGAGUGAACUGAUCGGUCACGUCCUGAAAGAUGGUCUACUUCUCAGUGAGACUUUGUGCCAGAUGGCAUCUGGGGCUGAGCGUCUUGGCAUCUUUCAGCCAAAGGAAUUGCUCCGCGCUUCACCUUCAAGCCUGUGCUUGUGCCACAGCUUUGGCAAUGUUUUCUGCUCAAAGCUCCGUUAUCUAGAAUGGCAGUGAAACCAUGGAGCCCAAAAGGGAGAAGCAUCCCAUCAUCUGCCUAGAAUACCUUUGCUGAGCUCCUGGGUGGAAAAAAAAAAAGGAGGAUUUACCUGAGUCCAGCCCGUCUGCAUGUGGGUCGGAACGUGUGUGUAUCCCAUUAACUCUGUCCUCGCUGCUCUCAAGAUGUCCCGCACAAAUGAUUUUAUUUUUUUUUUCGUAAGAAAAUAUAUUUUACUAGGCAGUUUUAUGAGAGCUGACAAAAUGCCUCAUAAAUAACCCAGCAGGAAAUAUGGGGUAAAUAAAAUUUUUACAACUUUAUCAUAAA